GGGGAAUUUUCCGCAAUGGGCGAAAGCCUGACGGAGCAAUACCGCGUGAGGGAGGAAGGUUCUUGGAUUGUAAACCUCUUUUCUCAGAGAAGAAUAAUGACGGUAUCUGAGGAAUAAGCAUCGGCUAACUCCGUGCCAGCAGCCGCGGUAAUACGGAGGAUGCAAGCGUUAUCCGGAAUGAUUGGGCGUAAAGGGUCUGUAGGUGGUUGUUCAAGUCUGCUGUUAAAGCGUCUGGCUUAACCAGAUAAAGGCGGUGGAAACUGAACGACUAGAGUGCGGUAGGGGUAGAGGGAAUUCCCAGUGUAGCGGUGAAAUGCGUAAAUCUUGGAAGAACACCUGUGGCGAAAGCGCUCUACUGGACCGCGACUGACACUGAUGGACGAAAGCUAGGGGAGCGAAUGGGAUUAGAUACCCCAGUAGUCCUANCCGUAAACGAUGGAUACUAAGCGUUGGCCGUAUCGACCCGGGCAGUGUCGUAGCUAACGCGUUAAGUAUCCCCCCUGGGGAGUACGCACGCAAGUGUGAAACUCAAAGGAAUUGACGGGGACCCGCACAAGCGGUGGAGUAUGUGGUUUAAUUCGAUGCAACGCGAAGAACCUUACCAGGGUUUGACAUGUCCGGAAUCUCUUGGAAACGAGAGAGUGCCUUCGGGAACCGGAACACAGGUGGUGCAUGGCUGUCGUCAGCUCGUGUCGUGAGAUGUUGGGUUAAGUCCCGCAACGAGCGCAACCCUCGUUUUUAGUUGCCAGCAUUAAGUUGGGCACUCUAAAGAGACUGCCGAUGAUAAAUCGGAGGAAGGUGGGGAUGACGUCAAGUCUUCAUGCCCCUUACACCCUGGGCUACACACGUACUACAAUGCUGUGGACAAAGGGCUGCAAACCAGCGAUGGCAAGCAAAUCCCGUAAACCACGGCUCAGUUCAGAUCGCAGGCUGCAACUCGCCUGCGUGAAGGUGGAAUCGCUAGUAAUUCCAGAUCAGCAUUGCUGGGGUGAAUUCGUUCCCGGGUCUUGUACACACCGGCCCGUCACACCAUGGAAGUUGGUUUUGCCCGAAGUCGUUAUUCCAACCGUUCGCGGAGGGAAACGCCGAAGGCAGGGCUGAUGACUGGGUGAAGUCGUAACAAGGUAGCCGUACCGGAAGGUGUGGCUGGAUCACCUCCUUAACAGGGAGACCUACUUCUACUAGAGACCGAACCCAUAAAUUUAUUAGGUCCAAGAGAAGUCAUCCCUAGGUCGUUCGGGAUUGACUGUUGGCUUUCAAACUAUUAUUGAGUUCGGCACCUUCGCUCUUAACAACCAAGUAUUGUUCGGUUUCUAACACUCAACAAACUUGAUGACUUGUUAAACUAGGAAGGUAUGGGAAUGAGACAUUGUCAGAGGCAAUAAACCCAAAGCUUUAAACUCAAUUGGAUAUACUUUUUCAGCAAUCUUGUUCACCAAAGCAAGACUGCUGGGCGAGAGUCCAGACAGAACCUUGAAAAUUGCAUAGCAACUUGUCAAAUGCGAAUUUGAUUGCACUAUAUAUCAGUACAAAACUGGUAUUUGAAUGCAUCAAACGCAGGUAGACACCAAUGCUUAAAAGUGGUCAAGCUAAUUAGGGCUAAUGGUGGAUACCUAGGCACACAGAG
rnacentral:sRNA from 1 species